rnacentral:rRNA from 1 species
AAUCCAUAGGUUAAUGAGGCGAACCGGGGGAACUGAAACAUCUAAGUACCCCGAGGAAAAGAAAUCAACCGAGAUUCCCCCAGUAGCGGCGAGCGAACGGGGAGCAGCCCAGAGCCUGAAUCAGUGUGUGUGUUAGUGGAAGCGUCUGGAAAGGCGCGCGAUACAGGGUGACAGCCCCGUACACAAAAAUGCACAUGCUGUGAGCUCGAUGAGUAGGGCGGGACACGUGGUAUCCUGUCUGAAUAUGGGGGGACCAUCCUCCAAGGCUAAAUACUCCUGACUGACCGAUAGUGAACCAGUACCGUGAGGGAAAGGCGAAAAGAACCCCGGCGAGGGGAGUGAAAAAGAACCUGAAACCGUGUACGUACAAGCAGUGGGAGCACGCUUAGGCGUGUGACUGCGUACCUUUUGUAUAAUGGGUCAGCGACUUAUAUUCUGUAGCAAGGUUAACCGAAUAGGGGAGCCGAAGGGAAACCGAGUCUUAACUGGGCGUUAAGUUGCAGGGUAUAGACCCGAAACCCGGUGAUCUAGCCAUGGGCAGGUUGAAGGUUGGGUAACACUAACUGGAGGACCGAACCGACUAAUGUUGAAAAAUUAGCGGAUGACUUGUGGCUGGGGGUGAAAGGCCAAUCAAACCGGGAGAUAGCUGGUUCUCCCCGAAAGCUAUUUAGGUAGCGCCUCGUGAAUUCAUCUCCGGGGGUAGAGCACUGUUUCGGCAAGGGGGUCAUCCCGACUUACCAACCCGAUGCAAACUGCGAAUACCGGAGAAUGUUAUCACGGGAGACACACGGCGGGUGCUAACGUCCGUCGUGAAGAGGGAAACAACCCAGACCGCCAGCUAAGGUCCCAAAGUCAUGGUUAAGUGGGAAACGAUGUGGGAAGGCCCAGACAGCCAGGAUGUUGGCUUAGAAGCAGCCAUCAUUUAAAGAAAGCGUAAUAGCUCACUGGUCGAGUCGGCCUGCGCGGAAGAUGUAACGGGGCUAAACCAUGCACCGA